rnacentral:rRNA from 1 species
GACGAACGCUGGCGGCGUGCUUAACACAUGCAAGUCGAACGGAAAGGCCCUGCUUUUGUGGGGUGCUCGAGUGGCGAACGGGUGAGUAACACGUGAGUAACCUGCCCUUGACUUUGGGAUAACUUCAGGAAACUGGGGCUAAUACCGGAUAGGAGCUCCUGCUGCAUGGUGGGGGUUGGAAAGUUUCGGCGGUUGGGGAUGGACUCGCGGCUUAUCAGCUUGUUGGUGGGGUAGUGGCUUACCAAGGCUUUGACGGGUAGCCGGCCUGAGAGGGUGACCGGCCACAUUGGGACUGAGAUACGGCCCAGACUCCUACGGGAGGCAGCAGUGGGGAAUAUUGCACAAUGGGCGGAAGCCUGAUGCAGCAACGCCGCGUGCGGGAUGACGGCCUUCGGGUUGUAAACCGCUUUCGCCUGUGACGAAGCGUGAGUGACGGUAAUGGGUAAAGAAGCACCGGCUAACUACGUGCCAGCAGCCGCGGUGAUACGUAGGGUGCGAGCGUUGUCCGGAUUUAUUGGGCGUAAAGGGCUCGUAGGUGGUUGAUCGCGUCGGAAGUGUAAUCUUGGGGCUUAACCCUGAGCGUGCUUUCGAUACGGGUUGACUUGAGGAAGGUAGGGGAGAAUGGAAUUCCUGGUGGAGCGGUGGAAUGCGCAGAUAUCAGGAGGAACACCAGUGGCGAAGGCGGUUCUCUGGGCCUUUCCUGACGCUGAGGAGCGAAAGCGUGGGGAGCGAACAGGCUUAGAUACCCUGGUAGUCCACGCUGUAAACGGUGGGUACUAGGUGUGGGGUCCACUCCACGGGUUCCGUGCCGUAGCUAACGCUUUAAGUACCCCGCCUGGGGAGUACGGCCGCAAGGCUAAAACUCAAAGGAAUUGACGGGGCCCCGCACAAGCGGCGGAGCAUGCGGAUUAAUUCGAUGCAACGCGUAGAACCUUACCUGGGUUUGACAUGGAUCGGGAGUGCUCAGAGAUGGGUGUGCCUCUUUUGGGGUCGGUUCACAGGUGGUGCAUGACUGUCGUCAGCUCGUGUCGUGAGAUGUUGGGUUAAGUCCCGCAACGAGCGCAACCCUUGUUCACUGUUGCCAGCACGUUAUGGUGGGGACUCAGUGGAGACCGCCGGGGUCAACUCGGAGGAAGGUGGGGAUGACGUCAAGUCAUCAUGCCCCUUAUGUCCAGGGCUUCACGCAUGCUACAAUGGCUGGUACAGAGAGUGGCGAGCCUGUGAGGGUGAGCGAAUCUCGGAAAGCCGGUCUCAGUUCGGAUUGGGGUCUGCAACUCGACCUCAUGAAGUCGGAGUCGCUAGUAAUCGCAGAUCAGCAACGCUGCGGUGAAUACGUUCCCGGG